rnacentral:rRNA from 1 species
UAGGGAAUCUUCGGCAAUGGACGAAAGUCUGACCGAGCAACGCCGCGUGAGUGAAGAAGGUUUUCGGAUCGUAAAACUCUGUUGUUAGAGAAGAACAAGGACGUUAGUAACUGAACGUCCCCUGACGGUAUCUAACCAGAAAGCCACGGCUAACUACGUGCCAGCAGCCGCGGUAAGACGUAGGUGGCAAGCGUUGUCCGGAUUUAUUGGGCGUAAAGCGAGCGCAGGCGGUUUCUUAAGUCUGAUGUGAAAGCCCCCGGCUCAACCGGGGAGGGUCAUUGGAAGCUGGGAGACUUGAGUGCAGAAGAGGAGAGUGGAAUUCCAUGUGUAGCGGUGAAAUGCGUAGAUAUAUGGAGGAACACCAGUGGCGAAGGCGGCUCUCUGGUCUGUAACUGACGCUGAGGCUCGAAAGCGUGGGGAGCAAACAGG